GAAAAGCGUUUUGAGGUAAAUUGCGAUGAUCUGAUCACAACAAAGGGUAAUGUGGUAAAUUAUCAGUGGCUUUUGAUCAGAUUUUACGAAAAUGCCCCUUUUAAGUUCAUUUUGACUUUGAUCAUGUUGUUCAUUUUGAUUCGAAAGAAGAGAUACUUUCAAACCAGAGACCGUCUGAAUGGUGGCCCUGUUAAACAUUGAAGAUAUGGACCUAUACAUGUAAAUACCUUUAUUUGCACAUUAGUCUUGCUCUGUGUUCAUGGUUCUUUCUCUAGACGUUAGUGGUCUGUGACGCUCGGUCUAAGCCUACUUUAGCAUGAGCCUUGAAUAUGGCCAAACCUAGUUCCCCGUCUUUUAGUUCACUUACAUUUUCUAUAUCAGUUUGCUGUAUUGUUUUAUAGUUUUCCAUUUGUUAUGUUGAAAGCAAACAUGCUUCAAUCGUUGGUUACAGUCUGCUUCCCAUGAUCGUCUGAUCUGUCUGUAUGUAGGUUGAUGGAUUUGGCUCAUCAGGAGUUGUCCCUGGCUAACCAAUUUUCGAAGCUCAAGAUACCUGAUGGAGCCAUACGUAAAUCCAGGGCUGAUAUGUACAGGCGUGGCUGUGGUGUAUGUUAACUAUCUCAACAAUCUGGAGGAGGAGGAUAUGUAUACAAGCGUGGUUAUUGUGUGAAUCCUGGUGUGGAAACGCCACAAAAUCCAAGGCCAGCAGAACAAUCGAUCUUUGCAAUAAUCCCAUGACAAAGGAACCAUAGCUUCAGGGUGUUAGAAGAAUUGUAACUGAAUGGCCCGAUCUUGAUCUCUAGGCACGGAAAUUCACAGCAAAAAUCUUGGGUGAAGAUAUGGAACUCAAGGAGCCUGUAGCUGCUGUAACAGAAGAGCCUAAUCCUUCUUCAUCAAGAGGAGAAGAAAACCAUCAAUCUUGGAUAUUUGCUAGGUAAGGUUUCUAGUUUUUUUUUUAUUUGAAGCACCAGUUUCAAAGAUAUCUCUCAGCAAAACUAUCUGGGAGAGUGAAGAAUCAACUAGAGUUUGAAUUUUUGCAAUGUUCUAAACUAGAUAGGUUCAACAUUUGUAUGAAGUAGAUCAACCUUAUGCAGAAGAAUAAUCUCAGUAUAGUUAUGAUUAAGUUUCACUACUUUGUAACUGAUAAAUAGAACUUUGACACUGUUACGAUUAA